rnacentral:rRNA from 1 species
UACGUAGGGCGCAAGCGUUAUCCGGAAUUAUUGGGCGUAAAGAGCUCGUAGGCGGUUUGUCGCGUCUGCCGUGAAAGUCCGGGGCUUAACUCCGGAUCUGCGGUGGGUACGGGCAGACUAGAGUGCAGUAGGGGAGACUGGAAUUCCUGGUGUAGCGGUGAAAUGCACAGAUAUCAGGAGGAACACCGAUGGCGAAGGCAGGUCUCUGGGCUGUAACUGACGCUGAGGAGCGAAAGCAUGGGGAGCGAACAGG